CCAGGUCUCAGGUCACAACCAAUCACGACUCCGCUUCAGAAAACUGUCUGUGUACAGUCUUGGAAGAAGAACUUGCCUUCAGGUUCUGGAAGUUCAGGUCAGUCUUGUGCUUGUCGUUGGGUCCGUAUCCAUUGUGACGGUCGGAGAUGACGGGGUCCAGCAGGUCCUUGAAGACCUCAUAGGACUCCUCGUCACCGGCCACGCAGCCCACGGUCAUGAUGAAGGGGUGGCCUGAGAAGGAGCAUUCCAAAGUAGGUGGCAUCUUUUUAUGUUAAAACUGCAACUUGGAACUCUGCUUACCGGGGUUGUCCACUCCGGUCUGGGUGACGUCAUCCAAAGUAAAGCCGCUGGGGGUGGACUUGCUCCUCAGCUUACCAUAGAUUUCCUUGGUCAGCACCUGCAUUAAGGAGGACAACCGUGACUCUGUAUUUGUUAUAAAAAUGAAUGAUGAUUUCAUGCAGACAGGCUUGUGUGUGCGCGUGUGGUGCGUGCGUGCGUGCAUGCUACCUUGGCCAUAUGGUUAUUAUGCUGGGACAAAUCGGGGAACUCAUCGUCCACCGAGAACUUCAUCUUGUAGUCAUUGUGACAAUUCUUGGC